rnacentral:lncRNA from 1 species
AUUAUGAACCAUGCCUUUUAUAUGGCGGAAUCUCUGUUAACAUCAAAUCAGAUAACUGGCCAUGUAGAAAUUUGCAAGGUAGGAAACACAAUUUACACUUACUAAAAAGAUUUGUUUGUUGCUUUUAUUAGACCAGGCAUGCAUCAGUAGUAUUUUUAUUUAUUUAUUUUUUUGUCUUUUGUCUUUUUAGGGCCACACCCGAGGCAUAUGGAGGUUCCCUGGCUAGGGGUCUAAUCGGAGCUGUAGCUGCUGGCCUACACCACAGCCAUGGCAAUGCCAGAUCUAAGCCACGUCUGUGACCUACACCACAGCUCACGGCAAUGCUGGAUCCUUACCCACUGAGCAGGGCCAGGGAUCGAACCCACAACCUGAUGGUUCCUAGUCAGAUUUGUUUCUGCUGCACCACGACGGGAACUCCAUCAGUAUGUUUUCUAUUCUUUCGGCCAUGCCUGCAGCAUGUGGAAGUUCCCUGGGCCAGGGAUUGAACCUGUGCCAUAGCAGUGACUGUGCCAGAUCCUUAGCUUGCUCUACUACCAGGGAAGUCUUAUUUUUUAAAAAAGCUAAUUAGAGGAGGAGUUCCCACCGUGGUGCAAUGUGAUCAGUGGUGUCUUGGGAGCUCUGGGAUGCAGGAUUGAUCCUCAGCCCACCACAGUGGGUUAAGGAUCAAGUGUUCCCACAACUGUAACUUAGGUCACAACUGUGGCUUGGAUUUGAUCCCAGGCACUCCACAUGCCUCAAGGCAGCCAGAAAAACAAACAAACAAAAAACCAAAAAAAGCUAAUUAGAGAAGUUCCCCGGUGGCCCAGUGGGUUAAGGAUCUGGUGUUGUCACUGCUGUGGCUUAGGUCACUAUGGAUUCAAUCCAUGGCCAGGGAACUUCUGCAUGCUCUGGAUGCAGCCAAAAAGAAAAAAGUUAAUUAGAGAAAAUCCAAAACAUUUGUCAUCUACCUAAGUGUUAAAGCAGAAAUAGAAGAAAAACUGACACCUUCCUUCAGAAGAAAACAUUGUCUGUUAUUGUCUUGCAUCCCUCUUGGCCAAAAACCCAUCUGAGUAGUUUCUUGGAGGAAUACUUAGGAUCGUUUCCUUGGUUCCUCUUGCAAACGUUGUGCUCCCCCUCCACCGCCAGUGCUGCAGCGCUUCCCCCAAGAGAGCUGCCAGGGAACAGCAGCUUUACUUGGGGCACAUUUGCUGCGGAAACUAUGUUUGGCAAGUAUCGAAUGUCUGUGCUUCUUUUCCUGGGCCUCCUAGGGUUGACAGCACUUAUUUAUAACAGGGGAGAUUCUAAACUUGGCCUCUUAUCAGCACAGAAAAGUAACUUCCACAUCACCGCCACAGAUCCAUUUCCUUCUUUCUGUCAGCACAAACAGAAGCAGAGCAGGCCGCCCAGAUCCUGGGUAAGUGGGUAAGCAAUUUAAUUCUAAAACAGACUGCUUUCCGGAACAGGACAAAUUUGUAGAUCAGCAUGUGAAAUCUUCUGUUACUGCAUCAAUGGGACAGUAACUCUCCACCCAAGUGAAGCCCUAACUUCCCAAACAAUUAUGUUUUUUGUUUCUGAGCAGAAAAUGGCCAGAAAUAUGUCACCUAUGUAUCAAUUGAAAAAUAAUCCCAAGUGUUGAGAUUUACUAAUUGAAACAGAAAAAUGCCCCCAAACCUAAGUCCAGUGUUUCCUUUGCUUAUAAUUCGGACCUCAUGAAUAAAAAAUAAAACUAAAUGAGCACAAACUCAACAUUGUAAAUCAACUGUAUAUCAAUAAAAAUUAAAAAAAAAAAGAGCAUAGGGAGUGGAAAGUAGGCAAUACUCUGGGGGUUCUCUUGCGGUGUGGUGAGUGACCCAGCAUUGUCACUGCAGUGGCUGGUGUCACUGCUGUGAUGCAGGUUCAGUCCCUGGCCCUGGAAUUUCCACGUGCAAAAAAAGGAAAAAGAAAAUACUCUGAAUAUUAUGAACUAAAGACUGUGAUUAUUUAUUAAUUUUAAUGUUUUGGCCACGCCCAUAGCAUGUGGAAGUUCCCAGGCCAAGGAUCACACCUGUGCCACAGCAGUGACCCAAGCUGCUACACUGGAUCCUUGACCCGCUGAGCCACGAAGGGAAUUCACAAAUUUAGUGUUGAUAAAUUUGAUAAAUAAAGCCAAGUUCUCUUGUAUGAACUUUUCUUUUUAAAUCCAGUCACCAAAUUCUAAUAUACACUGGGGAACACCAAAUUAGAAAACCACUGGCCCAUAAUUAGUGUACAAUUAUCCUAAGUAGUACUUAUUCAUAACCACACACGAUUUUAUAAGUUAAAAACCUUCACGGUUCACGUCAUCAGUAUGUUGUAUUACUGGUGAUCAGAAAUCCUUUGGCAAAUAUGUUUUUAACAAUAACCGGUUACCCAAAGGACCGUUAUUAAGCACCCAGUUGCUUAUUUCACAGUGGCAGUUUCUGCCCUAUAGUUGUGUAGAAAUUGGUGCUCUGUUUAUAUGUGUAGUGUGUAUAAAAUUAUGCUGCUCAGGAAGGUCUUUUUGUUUAUAGGGCUGCACCUGCUGCACAUGGAAGUUCCCAGGCUAGGGGUCGAAUCGGACUGCAGCUGCCAGCCUGCACCACAGCCCACAGCAUCUUGGGAUAGGAGCCAUGCCUGCAACCUACACCACAGCUCAUGGCAAUGCAGGUUCCUUAAGUCACUGAGGGAGGCCAGGGAUCAAAACCACGUCCUCAUGGAUACUAGUCAGAUUCGUUUCCACUGCGCCACAAUGGGAGGUCCUUUUUAAAAAAAAUGUUAACUUUAGGAUAUAAAUCCCUUUUAACAAUUUUGAAUUUUUGCCAGUCUCAGUGAAUGUCAUGAGUUGUUGAUUUUCAGUGCCUGAGUUCUACUGCCACCUAGUGUUAGGCUGCCGUCAUUACUUCAAAACUGAGCUC